UACGUAGGUCCCAAGCAUUAUCCGGAAUUACUGGGCGUAAAGAGUUGCGUAGGUGGUUUAUUAAGCAGAACAUGAAAGCAUACGGCUCAACCGUAUUCACAUUUUCUGAACUAGUUAACUAGAGGGCGAGAGAGGUUAUUGGAAUUUCUUGUGUAGGAGUGAAAUCCGUAGAUAUAAGAAGGAACACCGAUGGCGUAGGCAGAUAACUGGCUCGCACCUGACACUAAGGCACGAAAGCGUGGGUAGCAAACGGG
rnacentral:rRNA from 1 species